rnacentral:rRNA from 1 species
CGGCCGCGGUAUUUUGACCGCGUGAAGGUAGCGUAAUCAUUUGUCUUUUAAAUGAAGACCUGUAUGAAUGGCAUAACGAGGGCUUAACUGUCUCAUCCUCCCAGUCAAUGAAAUUGAUCUCCCCGUGCAGAAGCGGGGAUAAACACAUAAGACGAAAAGACCCUGUGGAGCUUUAGAUUACAGAGCAGUCUUAAUAAAACUUUUUAAAGCCCCUGCUCAUUUAUCUUCGGUUGGGGCGACCACGGAGAAAACUUAUCCUCCACGCUGCACAAAACACCAUGUUUCUAUAGCCAAGAGCGACAGCUCCAAGCACCAGAAUCUCUGACCCUAAAGAUCCGGACACACCGAUCAACGAACCAAGUUACCCCAGGGAUAACAGCGCAAUCCCCUUCUAGAGCCCUUAUCGACAAGGGGGUUUACGACCUCGAUGUUGGAUCAGGGCAUCCUAAU